AUUGAACGCUGGCGGCAGGCCUAACACAUGCAAGUCGAGCGGAUGAGAGGAGCUUGCUCCUCGAUUCAGCGGCGGACGGGUGAGUAAUGCCUAGGAAUCUGCCUAGUAGUGGGGGACAACGUUUCGAAAGGAACGCUAAUACCGCAUACGUCCUACGGGAGAAAGUGGGGGAUCUUCGGACCUCACGCUAUUAGAUGAGCCUAGGUCGGAUUAGCUAGUUGGUAGGGUAAAGGCCUACCAAGGCGACGAUCCGUAACUGGUCUGAGAGGAUGAUCAGUCACACUGGAACUGAGACACGGUCCAGACUCCUACGGGAGGCAGCAGUGGGGAAUAUUGGACAAUGGGCGAAAGCCUGAUCCAGCCAUGCCGCGUGUGUGAAGAAGGCCUUCGGGUCGUAAAGCACUUUAAGUUGGGAGGAAGGGCUCAUAGCGAAUACCUGUGAGUUUUGACGUUACCAACAGAAUAAGCACCGGCUAACUUCGUGCCAGCAGCCGCGGUAAUACGAAGGGUGCAAGCGUUAAUCGGAAUUACUGGGCGUAAAGCGCGCGUAGGUGGCUUGAUAAGUUGGAUGUGAAAUCCCCGGGCUCAACCUGGGAACUGCAUCCAAAACUGUCUGGCUAGAGUGCGGUAGAGGGUAGUGGAAUUUCCAGUGUAGCGGUGAAAUGCGUAGAUAUUGGAAGGAACACCAGUGGCGAAGGCGACUACCUGGACUGACACUGACACUGAGGUGCGAAA
rnacentral:rRNA from 1 species